AAAGCGCCAAGGAGCAGGUAUCAGGCACAACCUAUUAGCCCAAAACACCUUGCUACGCCACACCCACACGGGCACCCAGCAGUGAUAAAUAUUAAGCAAUGAGUAAAAGCUAACUAAAGCUCGACUUAGUUAUGAUUAUUAGGGCCGGUAAACCUCGUGCCAGCCACCGCGGUUAUACGAGGGGCCCAAAACAACAGACACCGGCGUAAAUUGUGACUAGAGCACUUACUUACAUCAUUGGAAAAUAAACAAAAACUCAAUCGUAAAACCUGAGCCAAAAGAGACACACUUUUCCAACUACGAAGAAGCUUGAACCCACGAAGACUAAGAAACAAACUAGGAUUAGAUACCCUACUAUGCUUAGUUGUUAAUAUGAUACCAAAAACCAUGGUAUCCGCCAGAAAAUUACACGCGAAAAGCUUAAAACUCAAAGGACUUGGCGGUGCUCCGUAUUCGCCUUAGAGGAGCCUGUCCUAUAAUCGAUAACCCACGCUUUACCUUACCAUCUUUUGUCAAAGCAGCCUAUAUACCGCCGUCGCAAACUUACCCCAUAAGGGCAUAAUAGUAAGUAAAACAGUAACACACUAACACGUCAGGUCAAGGUGUAGCUAAUAAGAUGGAAGAGAUGGGCUACAUUUUCUAAAACAGAAUACACGGCAAAGAGCAUUGAAACAUGCUCUAAAAGGUGGAUUUAAUAGUAAGAUAGAAAAGAAGGCCUAUCUAAAAA
rnacentral:rRNA from 1 species